AGAAUGUGGAAGCGUCGGCCGAGCGCGGUCCUUGGAGAACCCUUGCUGCGGAGAAUGACGCUCACUCUGCGGCCUGGCCUCGCCUCCCCAUCCCUUCUGCAAACUCACAGGACAGGAUUGAUGGGGAGAGCCCAGGCGAAACGAAGCUGACCCUAGUGACCAGCCCUACUGGCGGCUCUGGAACAGGCCCGGGACCGGUGGCCUGGAGACAGUGGUCCUUUCUGGAUGGGCUGCAGUCUCCGAAGGCUUCCCCCACUGGAGUCAGCCCUUUAGGAGUUUGUCCAGUGCCUCCAGAAAGCUGUUUUUUGGGGGACGGAGGACUUGGCCUGGAAUUCUGGAAUUCCCAGGGGGUCAGACAUGGUUAUGGGAAGUUUAAUAAAACCGGUGAAUCACGUGAAUUCUGCAA
rnacentral:lncRNA from 1 species